rnacentral:sRNA from 1 species
GCCGUAGCCAUUUUGGC